ensembl:lncRNA
GGACAGGGGUCUGGGAAACACUGGUAAAGGGGGGGACUUGGGGUCUGGGAAACACUGGUAAAGGGGAGGACUUGGGGUCUGGGAAACACUGGUAAAGGGGAGGACUUGGGGUCUGGGAAACACUGGUAAAGGGGAGGACUUGGAGUCUGGGAAACACUGGUAAAGGGGGGACUUGGGGUCUGGGAAACACUGGUAAAGGAGAGGACUUGGGAAACAUUGGUAAAUGGGAGGACUUGGGGACUUGGGAAACACUGGUAAAGGGGAGGACUUGGGAAACAUUGGUAAAUGGGAGGACUUGGGGUCUGGGAAACAUUG